rnacentral:ncRNA from 1 species
UAAGAAAUUUGGGGCUCAGAUCCUCUCCCAAGCUCAGGGUAACUUUUGAUGUUGAGGGGAA